rnacentral:tRNA from 1 species
GGGAGUUUAGCUCAAUAUGUCAGAGCAUUGUGACACGUAAUCACAGAGAUGUGAGUUCAAGUCCACAGCUACCC